GUCAUUUUGCCCCUUUUUGGUUCUGGAAUCCAUUUUGGGUCCAAAAAUGCCAUUUUUGAGGUAAAUUAUUCCAUUUUUGGGUCAAAAAAUGCCAUUUUUGGGGGUCAUUUUGUCCCUUAUUGGUGCUGGAAUCCAUUUUGGGCCCCAAAAUGCCAUUUUUGAGGUAAAUUCCUCCAUUUUGGGUCCAAAAAUGCCAUUUUUGGGGUCAUUCGUUCCCAUUUUUGGGGGUGAAUUCCUCCAUUUUGGUUCUGAAAAAUGCCAUUUUUGGGUCAUUCGUUCCCAUUUUUUUCGCACCAAACCCCAUUUUGAGUCCAAAAAUGCCAUUUUUGGGCAUAAAUCCCUCCAUUUUGGGUCCAAAAAUGCCAUUUUUGGGUCAUUUGGUCCCAUUUUUUGGGGUACAAAACCCCAUUUUUAGUCCAAAAAUGCCAUUUUUGGGUCAUUCGUUCCCAUUUUUUUCGCACCGAACCCCAUUUUGAGUCCAAAAAUGGCAUUUUUGGGCAUAAAUCCCUCCAUUUUGGGUCGAAAAAUGCCAUUUUUGGGGUGAAUUCCUCCAUUUUGGGUCCAGAAAUGCCAUUUUGGGGGUAAAUUCCUCCAUUUUGGGUCCAAAAAUGCCAUUUUUGGGGUCAUUCGUUCCCAUUUUUGGGGGUGAAUUCCUCCAUUUUGGUUUCGAAAAAUACCAUUUUUAGGUCAUUUGUUCCCAUUUUUUCCGCACCAAAACCCAUUUUGGUCCAAAAAAUGCCAUUUUUGGGUCAUUUGGUCCCAUUUUUUGGGGUACAAAACCCCAUUUUGAGUCCAAAAAUGCCAUUUUUGGGUCAUUCGUUCCCAUUUUUUUUUCGCACCGAAUCCCAUUUUGGGUCCAAAAAUGGCAUUUUUGGGUCAUUUG
ensembl:lncRNA